rnacentral:rRNA from 1 species
UCCAGACUCCUACGGGAGGCAGCAGUGGGGGAUAUUGCACAAUGGGGGGAACCCUGAUGCAGCGACGCCGCGUGGGUGAAGGAGCGUUUCGGCGCGUAAAGCCCUCUCGGCAGGGAAGAGGGAGGACGGUACCUGACUAAGAAGCCCCGGCUAACUACGUGCCAGCAGCCGCGGUAAUACGUAGGGGGCAAGCGUUAUCCGGAUUUACUGGGUGUAAAGGGGGCGCAGACGGCAGCGCAAGCCAGGAGUGAAAGCCCGGGGCCCAACCCCGGGACUGCUCUUGGAACUGCGCGGCUGGAGUGCAGGAGGGGCAGGCGGAAUUCCUGGUGUAGCGGUGAAAUGCGUAGAUAUCAGGAGGAACACCGGUGGCGAAGGCGGCCUGCUGGACUGCGACUGACGUUGAGGCCCGAAAGCGUGGGGAGCAAACAGGAUUAGAUACCCGAGUC